CGAUCCUCCUGCCUCAGCCUCCUGAGUAGCUGGGACUACAGCACGAUUAACCCUCAGUUGUACCCAGCACAGCUUUUCUGUGAAGUCUCACGUCCACUCACGCAUGGUGACAAGAACCCUGCCCACCGCGUCCUCCUUUUGCUUAGGUGCCUCCAUGGGUCUGGGGGGGGGCAUUCCUGUCUCGUUAGGUGAGAGCAAGCACAGUUUUCUCCGAGUAUUCUCAUGAUGGACUCAAAUUAAUUAAAAUACAUAAUUAAUCUUUUAAAAA